AUUGAACGCUGGCGGCAUGCCUUACACAUGCAAGUCGAACGGCAGCACGGGAGCAAUCCUGGUGGCGAGUGGCGAACGGGUGAGUAAUAUAUCGGAACGUGCCCAGUAGUGGGGGAUAACUGCUCGAAAGAGCAGCUAAUACCGCAUACGACCUGAGGGUGAAAGCGGGGGAUCGCAAGACCUCGCGCUAUUGGAGCGGCCGAUAUCAGAUUAGCUAGUUGGUGAGGUAAAGGCUCACCAAGGCGACGAUCUGUAGCUGGUCUGAGAGGACGACCAGCCACACUGGGACUGAGACACGGCCCAGACUCCUACGGGAGGCAGCAGUGGGGAAUUUUGGACAAUGGGCGCAAGCCUGAUCCAGCCAUGCCGCGUGCGGGAAGAAGGCCUUCGGGUUAUAAACCGCUUUUGUCAGGGAAGAAACGGCUCCUACUAAUACUGGGGGCUAAUGACGGUACCUGAAGAAUAAGCACCGGCUAACUACGUGCCAGCCGCCGCGGUAA
rnacentral:rRNA from 1 species